GAAAGCGGUGCUAAUACCGGAUAAGACCACAGCCGUUUCGGCGGCAGAGGUAAAAGCUGACCUCUCCAUGGAAGUUAGCGUUCGAAGACGGGCCCGCGUCCUAUCAGCUUGUUGGUGGGGUAAAAGCCUACCAAGGCAGCGACGGGUAGCUGGUCUGAGAGGAUGAUCAGCCACACUGGAACUGGAACACGGUCCAGACUCCUACGGGAGGCAGCAGUGAGGAAUUUUGCGCAAUGGGGGAAACCCUGACGCAGCAACGCCGCGUGGGUGAAGAAGGCUUUCGGGUCGUAAAGCCCUGUCAGGUGGGAAGAAACUCUUCAGUACUAAUAAUGCUGAAGCCUGACGGUACCACCAGAGGAAGCACCGGCCAACUCCGUGCCAGCAGCCGCGGUAAUACGGAGGGUGCAAGCGUUGUUCGGAAUUAUUGGGCGUAAAGAGCGUGUAGGCGGCUCGGUAAGUCAGAUGUGAAAGCCCUGGGCUCAACCCAGGAAGUGCAUUUGAAACUACCAGACUUGAGUACGGGAAGAGGAGGGGG
rnacentral:rRNA from 1 species